AUGGAAAGGGUGCUAAAUUUCCGCCACUCUGCCUUGCAGGCAAAGGGAAGGAAAGGAGAAGAGCGAGGAGAGAUGCAAGAUAUCCUUGGGGCAGAGGGAAGGAGUCUCAGUAUUAUCCCGCUAUUCAGAUGGCCACCUUCUGUUUUGGACCACCGCCAGGCAGAGAAUAGGUGCCUGAUCCCAACCUGCAGCCUGCCCAGGCUAGCGCUGCCCUGCGCUCUCCACCUCGCUUGUGCAGUUGACCCUGCUCUGCAGCAGAACAGAUGUUUGACACCUGAUCUCAAAGUAGGACUCGUGCUUGUUUCUAGGACCUGUUUCUCAUUGCGUUCUCUGACAAUCCCGAAGAUGGUGACUGAAAGGGCAUAUGCCAGGGGCCUGAUCCAGAAUGCCGUGCCCCCAACUAGCAGCACUACAGCUCCGCUUGCCUCUUCAACCCAGUGUAUGUUCAGAGACCACCUCUCCUCCAUGAUCUUGGACGCCUCAGGUGGAGGAACAUGCUUGGAGCUGUUCCCAUGGUGCAACAUUCAGCCCAAAAUGAACACCCUGAACUUCACAUCUGUUAAUAAUUUGUGCGCAUUGAGCCUUCCAGUGCUAGUUUUGUACCCCAUGUGGCUUGUUUGACUUGGAGGAUGACAGUGUCUCUCCUAAAGGGAAGUUCAGUAACACAGUCAAAAAGGUGCCUUACUCUGUCUCAGCUCCUGCCCUAGCUGUCUCUUCUCCAUCUCUGGGGCAGAGUGGGGAUGUUUUGACCCUUCCUCUCUUGCUUUCGCUGCCAGCCAGCUUGGGUAACAAUGCCCAUGGGACUUGCAGAGGGCCUGUAGUGGUUUCACAUGGUCUAUUCUCCAUCUGUCUGCAAACUCCCAAGGCCCAACUGAUGCUGGGCUCCAUGAGACGAGCUUCUCUUUCCCUGACAUGUGGCAGCUAUUCCUCACUUGGUUGUUAGCCUGCACUGUAGCUAGUUGCUGUUCCCUGCCGCAGGCACCCUACAGCUGCUGCAGUCCAGCACUUGAGCUCUUGCAAAGAGCUUGAAGUGCAGCUUGGAGACAGGUUACUGUAGCAAGAGUGCAGGGUGCCUCUUGGAGUGUCGUGCAGGCAGCUCCCAAUGAGCAUCUUUCUCUUUUCUCGCAGAUCCUGUUAGUCAGCAUGCUGUCUCCUCAAGGUGCUCAACCCAUAGCCUGUGGUUGCUUGUGGCUCCCUGAUUUCUCUCUUUGCAGUUGGUUAUUUGAACUCAACCAUGGCAAGAGCUCAGGAACAGCAACUGACCUGCCACAGCAAGCGGCCAGCUAAAGAGGCCAGUUGUCUCUCCUGGUCUCAAGCUUGUGGUCAGGGGGUGUGCAUGCUCCCUCCUGCUGUGAGGAGGGAGGAUGAGAGGAAAAAGUACUGCUGUUACCAGCUUCAGUGAAAGGCAGGAGGAAAGGUAUCUCCAGCAUGUGGUGCACACAUCCAGCACACAGAGGGAUUGCGGAGCAGCCCUGCGCCUUGUAGAUUCAAACCAAGGGGAGUGCAGAGCCCCUCAGCUGGGCUCUUGCAGGAGGAACUCAUGUUUUCACUUGCGAAAAGGAUGCUCUCCUGGGUUUGAGCAGUAGUCAAAGGAUCCUGAUGUCCUGGGGUUGUCAAGUGCCCUGAGGCCUCCCCACAGAGACAGGGAAGCAGGUGUAAGGUGUCUGUAUGUUGCAUUUGAAAGAUCAGAUCAGCCAGCAGUAAGGGCAGAGCUGAAACCCAUGGCUGAUGGCAAGAGAGGGGGAGCUGCUUGGAUGCCUGUGCUGUUAAACCCAUCAGUGUGGUUUUCAGGGAAGGAUACCAGGCUAGGCAGCAUGUUUCAUAGCUGUGGUACUUGAAGUGUCUCCUGGAAGUGUUGUUUGAUUAGCAAGAUUCCCUUUCCUCCGUGGGAAAGGCUUUGAGGAGUUGGUGGAGUUGUGUGUCUUUGACCCUCCAGCACCUCGAUGUUGCUGGCUUGCAGCAAUAGCUUCAAAGCAGAAACACAGUUACAGCCAUUUGGGUUGAAUUUUGAGACCAACCACAGGCUUUUUGAAAACAGAAACACCCCUGGAGAGGGGAUAGACCUGUUUCCAUGUGAUACAUGCUGUAUUGUGAUCUUGGGGCCUGGCAAGCAGCCCUGGUCCUCAGCUCAAGGUGAGAGGUGUCUUGCACAGGCUGGUGAAGGCAAUGCUUGUGUGGCACAGGCCUCAGCAGAGCCACAGCGUUGUGGAAGGGCAGCCUCCAUCUUGCAGAAGAGGGACCUGGACUAGGUGCUAGCAAGUGCCAGCAUCAGUCCAUGGGGAUUAGGCUGUGUGCAGGGGGACAGGGUAGGUGAUGCCAGCCUAGAGGUGCCAAGAAACCAGGGCAUAAGGGAAACCCCUAGAAGCAGUAAGAGGACAGCUUACAGCUUGCCUGCAGCAAUCGAAGCAAGAUCCCCAUGCAGGGAGAAGGGAAGCCUGCCAGGCCAGCAUAGGAAGGGCUGAUUCCCUUUGGAUCUGAGCCUCAGCUGCAGACAGCUGUGCAGGGAUGUCUCCUGCCCCUGCAGCCGUCCAUGUGGAUGUAUUUGCUAUUAGUGGCUGUCACUCUUUAGCUAAAUGUCAUUCUCCCCUGGCUGCAUAUGUACCUUCCACCUCCAUUUCCUGCCUGAGUGGUCUUAGGGAUGUCCCUGGGAUGCUCCUGUGGCUUGAAGUCCUGCAGUGAGGUUUGCAAGAUGCCCAGUGCCUUGUGCAGAAAGCUCCUCCAUCCUACUUUGCUCCUCCAGCCAUCACCCUGAGGACAGCACUUCAGAAGCCCGAGUACAUGUGAAAGAUUCAGACAGCUGGAUGACCAUGUGUUUCUUAACACCUUCAACUGGGGGUUUCUUCUUUCCAAGCUUGGAGUCAGGAGCUGUAGCUCAGGCUGGGAAUGUGGACGCAACUGAAAUCUGGCUUUGAACUGUUUUCUCUCUGUUCAAAAGGCCUGCGCUCUCUUUUUUUAAAGGGGUUUGCCACUGGAUCAGCACCUUCUUUAAGGAAACACGAUACAUAUGUUCAAGUUUACAUGCACAGUGUUACAUUCUUUUGAUAAAAUAGAAUAAAAUUAUUUUGAUACCAUUUCCUCA
rnacentral:lncRNA from 1 species